GUUAGCAAUUACUGUUGUAUAAAUGGGAUUCGUUUCUUUUUGUAGAUAAUCAGUUGGUUGUUUUGAACUAAGAAGAAGUAGGGUUUGCUCUAGACCUUUUUCUUAAUCUGAUUGUGCUUCCCUAACAGUAUUUGUUGAGAUUUUGGUUCAUCGUAGAUUGUGUAUCUCUGUUUUUCAGUUUGAGAUGAAACUGUUGUAUAAAUGGGAUUUAGUUCUCUAGAUGUAUUGUUAGUUGAUCUGGACGAUUACCAGAAACGAACAACCAAGGUCUCUCUCUCGUUCCGUACAAGAACCAGAAACCCUAACCCUUGUUUUCGAACACAGGAGAACAAGAAUGAAAUCAACAGAUGACAAGGGGCUGGACAAGAAGCUUGAUAGGUCAAAAGAUGCUGAUGGGCCAAGGGAGAGAGUAUGAGGGGAGGGGGCGGGGGCGGGAAAUGGUGCUUUACACUUCAACUUAGUUGCAGUUGCUUCAAUUUACUGAACUUCACGUCACCUAUUGGUUCAUUUUCAUCAUUUUGUCCUUCAAAUCCAACUAUUGCCUCCAUAAUUCCUUAGUGGAAUACUUCUAGUCGUUCCAGGUGGACAAGUCCUCUUGCGGUGCAUGGGGAGAAGAGAUACUUAAACUUACACUUUACAACAGCUAACAUAGUUAAUUUAUUGAACGACCGUGAGACUUUGAACAAAUGAUUUUGGCUCACCAAUAAGAUAUGUCAUGUCAUCAUGACAUGAUCUAACUAAGAGGUUUUUCAAGUCAAUAAAUCUAUUUCCAACCCCUCUGUCAUAUCGUAUUAGCUUUGUCCACGAAAGGAAUGAACUCAUUUCUUAAAGAAGAUCAUUCAUAUUUCAAAACCAUGUUCCUAAAAAAUAUUCAUAUACGAAAAUAUUCAUAUACGAAAUUUAAGUUGCGAGCUAAAGUGGUCAUUGACUAAAGGUCAAUUAACCACUUUACAUAUCCAUGUACACCAUAUGUCAUGCUAUUACCCAAUAAGUGACUAAAGUUUGAGAAUCUAAAGGAAUUUAGGAUCUUCUCAAUGGGCAGUCAAACUCAAUUAUUUGUAUAUGAAUAUUUUCGAGGAACAAGGUUUUGAAAUAUGAAUGGUCUUCUUUAAGAAAUGAGUUCAUUCCUUUCGUGGAACAAAGCUAAUAUGCUACACCUCGAUGGCAGUAAGGGUUUGAAGAAGAUGUUUCAUGACAGAGGUUGGAAAUAUAGAUUUAUUGACUUAAAAAACCUCUUAGUUAGAUCAUGCCACGAUAACCUGGAAUAUCUUAUUGGUGAGCUAAAAUCAUUUGUGCAAAGUCUUAUAGUUUCAAUAAUUAAAUGUGUAAGCUUUUGUAAAGUGUAAGUUUAAGUAUCUUUUUCUCAUCAUGCACUGCAAGAGGGCUUGUCCACCUAGAACGACUAAACGUACUACACUGUGAAACCAUGGAUACAAUAGUUGGAUUUGAAUGACAAAAUGAUAAAAAAAAAUGAACUCAGAGGUGAAGUUCAUUAAACUGAAGUACUUGCAAUUGACAAAUCUACCAAACGUCAGAAGCUUCUAUGCCAAAAAGGAGGAGACGCGAACAACCAUGGGAAGUUCUUCUGCCCGUGCCAAGCCACUUUUCGGUGAAAAGGUGAACUGCUGGAAUAUGAUAUUCUAGUUGCUGGAACAGGGAAAUUAGUUGCUGAAUUUGGUGCAGGGAAGUUGGAACAGUUAUUUUGGGGAGCCUAAAGGUAUUUACUUGUUAAAAGGUUAGAAAGAUAUAUUCUAGGUUGGAUUUAUAGAGCAUGAUAUGAGUAUGCCAUGUGCAGGAUGAUGGUGAAAGCUUUCUUAACUCCACUACCAUAUUGUGAUGAACCCAAUAUUCUCGUGAAUGGCAUUGUGGAGCUAAAUAACAUGCUGUCUUUUGCAGGGCAUUACAAUUUGACAGUUCAACUGUUGGCUUUUGCAGGGCACAUUAAUUCUGUCCUCUCUUUUUUGGGCUAUGUCAAUCUUUGUUUAUUUAUUCUACUAUAUAUGGGUCAAACAAUUGUAAGGCCAUGGCUUCUUGUUUAUUCUACUACAUAUUGCGAUAGUCACCUUAAUCAUUUAGUUUGGUUGUUGGUGAUACAAUUUUUAGAAGGAAUUAUUCAUCUUCAACUAAUCGUUUUUUUUUUUUGGUUGAGAGGAACUAAUCUGAUAGAAGAUGCUCUUCUAAAGCCCUUGGUCCCGAGAGGUGUGGACAUGUAAGAGGUGUGGGAAAAGGAGUCGCACAAAUAAGAUUAGGUAAGUGAAGAAACUGUUCAGUUCAAGUCUCAAAUGGCACAUGUGCUUAAUGUAAUCAACGAGUUAAAUAAAAACCAAGUAGUUUAUUGUUUUCUAGAUUGAAUGUUAUUGUGGACUACUUCGAAUAAUGACGUUUUACCUUCCUUUUUUUUGGAA